rnacentral:rRNA from 1 species
GAUGAACGCUGGCGGCGUGCCUAAUACAUGCAAGUCGAGCGAACGGACGAGAAGCUUGCUUCUCUGAUGUUAGCGGCGGACGGGUGAGUAACACGUGGAUAACCUACCUAUAAGACUGGGAUAACUUCGGGAAACCGGAGCUAAUACCGGAUGAUAUUUUGAACCGCAUGGUUCAAAAGUGAAAGACGGUCUUGCUGUCACUUAUAGAUGGAUCCGCGCUGCAUUGGCUAGUUGGUAAGGUAACGGCUUACCAAGGCAACGAUGCAUAGCCGACCUGAGAGGGUGAUCGGCCACACUGGAACUGAGACACGGUCCAGACUCCUACGGGAGGCAGCAGUAGGGAAUCUUCCGCAAAGGGCGAAAGCCUGACGGAGCAACGCCGCGUGAGUGAUGAAGGUCUUCGGAUCGUAAAACUCUGUUAUUAGGGAAGAACAUAUGUGUAAGUAACUGUGCACAUCUUGACGGUACCUAAUCAGAAAGCCACGGCUAACUACGUG